GUAGGGUCCAAGCGUUAAUCGGAAUUACUGGGCGUAAAGCGUGCGCAGGCGGUUGUGCAAGACCGAUGUGAAAUCCCCGGGGCUUAACCUGGGAAUUGCAUUGGUGACUGCACGGCUAGAGUGUGUCAGAGGGGGGUAGAAUUCCACGUGUAGCAGUGAAAUGCGUAGAGAUGUGGAGGAAUACCGAUGGCGAAGGCAGCCCCCUGGGAUAACACUGACGCUCAUGCACGAAAGCGUGGGGAGCAAACAGGAUUAGAUACCCUGGUAGUCCACGCCCUAAACGAUGUCAACUAAUUGUUGGGGAUUCAUUUCCUUAGUAACGUAGCUAACGCGUGAAGUUGACCGCCUGGGGAGUACGGUCGCAAGAUUA
rnacentral:rRNA from 1 species